GACGAACGCUGGCGGCGUGCCUAAUACAUGCAAGUAGAACGCACAGUUUAUACCGUAGCUUGCUACACCAUAGACUGUGAGUUGCGAACGGGUGAGUAACGCGUAGGUAACCUGCCUGGUAGCGGGGGAUAACUAUUGGAAACGAUAGCUAAUACCGCAUAAUAUUAAUUAUUGCAUGAUAAUUAAUUGAAAGGUGCAAUUGCAUCACUACCAGAUGGACCUGCGUUGUAUUAGCUAGUAGGUGAGGUAACGGCUCACCUAGGCGACGAUACAUAGCCGAGCUGAGAGGGUGAUCGGCCACACUGGGACUGAGACACGGCCCAGACUCCUACGGGAGGCAGCAGUAGGGAAUCUUCGGCAAUGGACGAAAGUCUGACCGAGCAACGCCGCGUGAGUGAAGAAGGUUUUCGGAUCGUAAAGCUCUGUUGUAAGAGAAGAACGGGUGUGAGAGUGGAAAGUUCACACUGCGACGGUAUCUUACCAGAAAGGGACGGCUAACUACGUG
rnacentral:rRNA from 1 species